AUGUCGAACUGGCAGUGCUCGACCGUCUCCGAGGCGAAGCUGCGAGCGCUCGUCGAUGCAGGGAUGCUCCCGUGCCUGACCGAGGCGCGGGAGUGGAUCAAGCCGAUGCUCGAGGACUCCCCACGACCUUCCCAGGGGUACGUGGUUUCCUUUGUCGCCUUUCAUGAGCACGGGUUCUCCGUGCCGGCGGGGAGAUUCAUCCGCGCCGUGCUCCACGAGUACAGCCUCGAGCUGCAGCACCUCAACCCGAAUGGCAUCCAGCACCUGGUGGCAUUUGAGGCGAUGUGCGAGGGAUACCUGGGCAUCGAGGCGCACUGGCAUCUCUUCCGUAACUUCUUCAUGCUUGUCUGCUUGAAGGACGAGCAGAGCCACAACCCGCCGACGAUCGGGUGCACUGGCAUCCGGCUCAAGCGGGGGAAACCCGAUGGCUAUCAACGGGCCCUUGACGAGCUCCAACAGCGGGUGGCGCUCAGAGUGGUUCUACCUCAAGAACGAUCCCGAGUGCCCUCUGCCGGUGUUCACCGGGGGUCUUCACGACACCACCCCGGCCGCGUGGUCCGAUGGGCCGGAGAAGAAGAAGCAGGCGAAGCUGCUCCAUGGCUGCCCCGCGGCAGUCACGGCCCUUCAGGCCCGAGGGGUGGACCUCGCCACCGUGAUUGGUGGUUACCUUGCGAGAGGGGUCGUGCCGCUACGGCGGCCCGCCCUUCGCCUGUUCGAGAUGACCGCGGACCGGGCUCCCUUCGGGGAGAAUUGAUUUUAACCCCCCAAGCUCGCGCGCCUUUGAUCUUAAGCCCCCUUGUUCGUUUGCCUUCCUCUGAAGCCCCCGACGCAGCCUAAUUUUGGCUCGCUUGCCCCUCUAGCGCUGUUAUCUCUGGAUUUAGCGCAUAAGGAAAGAAUCUGGACUUAACAAAUUUGUAAUUGCCAAAUCUGCCCUCGUCCAAUUUUCCUCAAACUCACGAGACAGAGGCCCGAGGCCUGGCCCGUUUCUCAUUCUAUCUCCCCUCCCCUUCCUGACUCAACCUAGCCGCUAGCCGCCAGAGCCGCUGCGCCCGCCGUCCGCUGCCCUGCUCCGCCGCGUUUCUCCCCAUCCGCCACCUUCCAUCGCUGGCCCAAGGUCUUGUGUGUGUGAUUGGCAUGGGAUUUGAGUGGGAGGGGCUGGAUUGACUAAGGGGUGUGAUGGAUCUGAAAAGGUAACAUCAUAUUCCCCUGUUCUAAUUGAUGUAUGCAUGAGUUUUGGUGUGUGAAUUUUCUGAUUUUUUCUGUCUA